UGUUGAUGAUGUUGUUGAUGUUGUUGUUGUUGAUGAUGAUGAUGUUGUUGUUGAUGAAUGAUGUAGACCAAACGACAUAGAAUGGAAAGAUGCAAGUAAGUACUGCUAGUUACUUCAAGACGAUCAUUAUCAUAAUCACCACCACCAUCAUCAUCAUCAUCAUCAUCACCAUCAUCAUCAUCACCA
rnacentral:pre_miRNA from 1 species